rnacentral:rRNA from 1 species
UACGAAGCGGGCUAGCGUUGUUCGGAAUCACUGGGCGUACAGCGCACGCAGGCGGAUCGAUAAGUCGGGGGUGAAAGCCCGGGGCUCAACCUCGGAAUUGCCUUCGAUACUGUCGGUCUCGAGUCCGGGAGAGGUGAGUGGAAUUCCUAGUGUAGAGGUGAAAUUCGUAGAUAUUAGGAAGAACACCAGUGGCGAAGGCGGCUCACUGGCCCGGUACUGACGCUCAGGUGUGAAAGCGUGGGGAGCAAACAGG